AGCACGGUGCAGUGGUUUAAGCAUUGGACUAGGGCUCUGGAGACCAGGGUUCAAAUUCCUGCUCAGCUA